rnacentral:tRNA from 1 species
GGGUUUAUAGUUCAAUGGCAGAAUAGGAGACUCUUAAUCUUUUGAUGAUGGUUCGAUUCCAUCUAGACCUACCA